AUUUAGCUAACGAGUCCCAAAUAAGAUGAAAUGCGUGUCCUGAAU
rfam:Schistosoma mansoni strain Puerto Rico chromosome 3, complete genome